rnacentral:rRNA from 1 species
CCUACGGGAGGCAGCAGUGAGGAAUCUUGCACAAUGGGGGAAACCCUGAUGCAGCGACGCCGCGUGAGCGAUGAAGCCCUUCGGGGUGUAAAGCUCUUUCGGCAGGGACGAACACUGACGGUACCUGCGGAAGAAGCUGCGGCUAACUACGUGCCAGCAGCCGCGGUAAUACGUAGGCAGCAAGCGUUGUUCGGAGUUACUGGGCGUAAAGCGUGCGUAGGCGGUUUCGCAAGUCCGGUGUGAAAUCUCCCGGCUCAACCGGGAGGGUGCGCCGGAAACUGCGAGGCUGGAGUGCGGGAGAGGAGAGCGGAAUUCCUGAUGUAGCGGUGAAAUGCGUAGAUAUCAGGAGGAGCACCGGUGGUGAAGACGGCUCUCUGGACCGUGACUGACGCUGAGGCACGAAAGCGUGGGGAGCAAACAGGAUUAGAUACCCUGGUAGU